AAUUUCCUUUCUCAAAACAGAAUUAUUACCAACAAUGGAUCUUUGCCUGACUUAUUUAACUGGUUUUUCAGUGGCUUCACUAUGGAAUUUCCAUCAAUGUCUUCCAGAAAAGGAAAUGUUUUAGAGAAACUUGGAAGACGGACUGAUUUCUCACCAACUCAGAGGCCUAAUCAAGAGGCUUACAGAAAUGCAGUAUUACUGGAAUCCAGAGACUAGGACUCCUUCCACUCCUGCAGGGUUUCCAGCAGUACUGUGUACUGUUUAACCACAGAUGGCUUCCUCCUCCAAUCUGCAGACAAAGUUGGGCAAAACAGAGAAAACAGUAUCAGUGGCUUUGGAGGCAGAAGAAGGAAAAGAUGUUUUGUGAUACUACUGAGACACUGCAGCAAUGGCCUUUGGAGUAAUCUCUUGGAAACUGUGGUUAGACUCUUAACUCACCUUAAAGAUUUACAAAAUGGCUUGCUGGAAUUUUACAUGAUGUGUUCAGACAGAAUAUGUUAGCUUGAAAACCAAUGAGACACAAAAAAUAAGAAAUCUUAGUUAGGUAUCAAUCUGAAACAAAACCCACUUAUGUGCAACCUCUGUAUUACAAGCUGUUAAUAAUGUGCCAAAAAACACAUGCACAUGAAAAGAGUAAUCAAUAAGAACAAGACUGAGGAGAGGAAGGAAAGUUGGCCUUGUCAGCAUACAAGGAUAUUUUAUCUUUCCUCAGAAAUUAUU
rnacentral:lncRNA from 1 species